rnacentral:rRNA from 1 species
AGAGUUUGAUCCUGGCUCAGAACGAACGUUAGCGGCGCGCCUAACACAUGCAAGUCGCACGAGAAAGGGCUUCGGCCCCGGUAAAGUGGCGCACGGGUGAGUAACACGUGGGUAAUCUGCCCUCGAGCAGGGGAUAACGGUCCGAAAGGACCGCUAAUACCGUAUAAGACCACGCCCUCGAAAGAGGAUGCGGUCAAAGCUGGCCUCUAUUCAUAAGCUAGCACUUGAGGAUGAGCCCGCGGCGCAUCAGCUAGUUGGUGAGGUAAUGGCUCACCAAGGCUAAGACGCGUAGCUGGUCUGAGAGGAUGAUCAGCCACACUGGAACUGAGACACGGUCCAGACUCCUACGGGAGGCAGCAGUGGGGAAUCUUGCGCAAUGGGCGAAAGCCUGACGCAGCGACGCCGCGUGAGUGAUGAAGGCCUUCGGGUUGUAAAGCUCUGUGGGGAGAGACGAAUAAGUGCAGUCUAAUACAUUGCAUGAUGACGGUAUCUCCUUAGCAAGCACCGGCUAACUCUGUGCCAGCAGCCGCGGUA